GCCGCAGAUCCUCGGCACUGGUUUGGCACAAGACUUCCCGAGCAGGACAUGUAACCCACAAAAUUUAGCCAGUAUCCAGGGCUGCUCACAGCUUUGCUUCUUGUGAGAUUAAACGAAGAUGAUGGUCUUAAAAUGGUUUUACCACAAGAAAACUUCCCCACAAGGAAUACACCUGUUGUCUUCCCCCUGAGGCCUCACACUGCAAAUCUGAGGAGUUUACAACUAAAUGAUAAAUCCAGAGGGUUUACCACAGAUCAUGGGGAGACAAUACAGGGGGAAACGCUCUCUGUGACUCACUUUGCCGGCCACUUUUACUGAGGCUCUAAAUCUAAUCUGGGCUGAUAAGGAGUCUCAUUCAAGAGCCGCAGGAUGUUAGCAGUCGUUUUCUACCGACCGACGUGUCAGUGCUGUAAAACGUGAGGCUUGUGACUCUGAAAAGGAUUUUUAUGGGAGCUGCAUGUGUGUGAAAAAUGAAAACCAGGAAACACAAACUGGAUUCAGUCUUUUCAUUUAGUUGCGAGACA